GACGAACGCUGGCGGCGUGCCUAACACAUGCAAGUCGCACGAGAAAGUUCCCGCAAGGGAGCGAGUAAAGUGGCAGACGGGUGAGUAACACGUGGACAACAUACCUUUUCGCGGGGGACAACCGUCCGAAAGGAUGGCUAAUACCGCAUGACAUCAUAACGGGGCAUCCCGAAGUGAUCAAAGCCGCAAGGCGCGAAAAGAUUGGUCCGCGUCCCAUUAGCUUGACGGUGAGGUAACGGCUCACCGUAUUGGCAAUGAUGGGUAGCUGGUCUGAGAG
rnacentral:rRNA from 1 species